rnacentral:piRNA from 1 species
UGGGAACAUUUUGGCUACAGAUGACA